rnacentral:rRNA from 1 species
AGAUUGAACGCUGGCGGCAUGCUUUACACAUGCAAGUCGAACGGCAGCACGGGGGCAACCCUGGUGGCGAGUGGCGAACGGGUGAGUAAUGCAUCGGAACGUAUCCUUAAGUGGGGGAUAACGCAUCGAAAGAUGCGCUAAUACCGCAUAAUCUCUGAGGAGAAAAGCAGGGGAUCGCAAGACCUUGCGCUUUUGGAGCGGCCGAUGUCUGAUUAGCUUGUUGGUGAGGUAAUGGCUCACCAAGGCUACGAUCAGUAGCUGGUCUGAGAGGAUGAUCAGCCACAUUGGGACUGAGACACGGCCCAAACU